rnacentral:lncRNA from 1 species
AGCAGGAACAUACAGCUAUUGGGCAGACCCUUACACUUUGUUUGUGUUCGAGAUGGCACUCAUGGGAUUUGCAGAGCACAGAAGGUUCCAAGACUGGGCCAAACCAGGUUCGAUGGGGAAACAAUAUUUCUUGGGGUUCGAGAAGUACCUUGGAGGGUCUGGUGAGCCGGCAUACCCUGGAGGACCACUGUUUAACCCACUUGGUUUUGGGAAAGAUGAGAAGUCAUUGAAGGAUUUGAAGCUGAAAGAAGUGAAGAAUGGGAGAUUGGCAAUGUUGGCAAUCUUGGGUUACUUCAUACAAGGGCUCGUGACAGGUGUAGGACCAUACCAGAAC